GCACAACAGAUUUUGUCUCAAACCUACUUCUUCUUUCUUGUAAUAUAUAAUAACAUAUUCUAAGAAGCAGAGUAGAUGAUUAGGAAUUUUACAUACUCAUUUAGUCAUUUCCAGGUAAUAAUUAGUGUAGCGUGAUAAGAUCUUGGUGGAACUGGAGCUCCCAGGCCAGGUGUCUUGGAUUUAGAAUGGUCUCCUCUGUUUAGUCCUCCUCUAUUUACCAUCUAUUUAUUCCUCUCUGCCUUCCCCUGUUUAUCUUUAUAAGAAAUCUAUACACUGAUUUUUUAAAUAUUGGAAUACUGUUUGGGGUUAUAUAUGUUUGAUAGUG
rnacentral:lncRNA from 1 species